rnacentral:rRNA from 1 species
GGUUGCUUGCAAGGGCGUAUGGUGGAUGCCUUGGCAGACAGUACCGAUGAAGGACGUUUGAGGCUGCGAUAUGCCUCGGGGAGCCGCCAGCAGGGCUUUGAUCCGAGGAUUUCCGAAUGGGGGAACCCGCCGGCCGUCAUGGGCCGGCACCGCGUUCGCGCGGGGGGUACGCAGGGAAGUGAAACAUCUCAGUACCUGCAGGAAAGGAUGUUCCGUGAGUAGUGGCGAGCGAAAGCGGAUCAGGCCAAACCGCGCGCGUGUGACAGGCGCCAGCCGUUGCGCGCGUGGUGUUGAGGGAGCGUGUGUCCGGGUCCUGGCGGGCCCGGUCGGAGUGAUAAAACGGCGUGUGAGGCGAACCGGAUUGAAUGCCGGGCCGCAGAGGGUGAUGGCCCCGUAGCCGAACGCGCGUCGUCUCCGGAUCGUGUCUCCCAAGUAGCGCGGGACUCGUGGAAUCCCGUGUGAAUCCGCCCCGACCGUGGGGUAAGCCUAGAUAUACCUGUCUGACCGAUAGCGAACUAGUACCGUGAGGGAAAGGUGAAAAGCACCCCGGGAGGGGAGUGAAACAGUCUCUGAAACCGUGCGCUUACAAACCGUCGGAGCCUUUCGGGGUGACGGCGUGCCUAUCGAAAAAUGAGUCUGCGAGUCAGUGGCACGUGGCGAGCGUAACCCGUGUGGGGUACGCGUAGCGAAGGCGAGUCUCAAAAGGCGUUUGAGUCGCGUGUCCUGGACCCGAAGCGGGAUGAUCUAGCCCUGAGCAGGUUGAAGCGCGGGUAAGACCGCGUGGAGGACCGAACCCACCUGGGUUGAAAACCGGGGGGAUGACCUGGGGCUAGGGGUGAAAGGCCAAUCAAAUUCCGUGAUAGCUGGUUCUCUCCGAAAUGCAUUUAGGUGCAGCGUCGGGGAUUACGUCCGGGGGGUAGAGCUACUGGAUGCUUGAGGGCCCGUAUCGGGUACCGACAGCAGCCAAACUCCGAAUACCCGUGACGCGUAUCCCGGCAGUGAGUCGGCGGGGGAUAAGCUCCGUCGUCGAAAGGGAGACAGCCCAGAUCGUCGUCUAAGGUCCCCAAGCGCGUGCUAAGUGGGAAAGGAUGUGGAGUCGCAUAGACAGCCAGGAGGUUGGCUCAGAAGCAGCCAUCCUUGAAAGAGUGCGUAACAGCUCACUGGUCUAGUGGUUCCGCGCCGACAAUGUAGCGGGGCUCAAGCACGCCACCGAAGACGCGGCAGCGUCCGUUUGGAUGCUGGGUAGGAGAGCGUCCCCAUCGGGGCGAAGCGGCGGCGCAAGCCUGCCGUGGACCGUUGGGGAGUGAGAAUGCAGACAUGAGUAGCGAGAGGCGGGUGCGAAUCCCGCCCGCUGGAUGACCAAGGGUUCCGGGGCCACGUUCGUCGUCCCCGGGUGAGUCGGGUCCUAAGGCGAGGCCGACAGGCGUAGUCGAAUGGAUGAACGGGCUGAUAUUCCCGUACCGGCAGCGAACCGAAACAACCGAGGCCUGGGGCGCUAACCUCCGGGUCCGUGCCGUCUCCCCUUUCGGGGGGUCGCGGCGCGGGCGCGUUGGGAUCCCCCCUCGUAGUAGGUCAGCGCAGGAGUGACGCAUCAGGGCAGCCGGCCGCGGAGGUGGUUUUCCGUGGUCAAGCGUUCGAGCCCGUCCCGCAGGCAAAUCCGCGGGGCGUCGGGGCGAGGCGUGAUGAUGGGGGCCUUACGGCCCGAAUCCGGUGAUCCGUGGUGCCGAGAAAAGCUUCGGCGUCAGGCGCGUUGCCGCCCGUACCCCAAACCGACACUGGUGGUCAGGUAGAGAAUACCAAAGCGAUCGAGCGAAUCCUGGUCAAGGAACUCGGCAAAUUGCUCCCGUGCCUUCGGCAUAAGGGAGACCCCCUGCGGUGAUGAGCGGCGGGGGGUGGCACAGGCCAGGGGGUAGCGACUGUUUACCAAAAACACAGGAGCGUGCGAAGGCGCAAGCCGCUGUAUACGCUCUGACGCCUGCCCGGUGCCGGAAGGUUAAGAGGAUCCGUCAGCUUCUGCGAAGCGGUGAAUUCAAGCCCCGGUAAACGGCGGUGGUAACUAUAACCAUCCUAAGGUAGCGAAAUUCCUUGUCGGGUAAGUUCCGACCUGCACGAAUGGCGUAACGACUUCCCCACUGUCUCGACCAGGAGCUCGGCGAAAUUGCAGUACGAGUAAAGAUGCUCGUUAAGCGCAGAAGGACGAAAAGACCCCGGGACCUUUACUAUACCUUGGUAUUGGCAUUAGGCGCGGAUUGUGUAGCAUAGGCGGGAGGCUUCGAGGCGGGUGCGCCAGCAUCCGCGGAGCCGCAAGGUGAAAUACCGCUCUGUUCUCGUUUGAUGUCUAACCUCGAACAGUCAUCCUGUUCAGGGACAGUGCCUGGCGGGUAGUUCAACUGGGGCGGUUGCCUCCCAAAGAGUAACGGAGGCGCUCAAAGGUCCGCUCAGC